rnacentral:snoRNA from 1 species
UCGUCAGGUAGGAUAAUCCUUACCUGUUCCUCCUUUUGGAGGGCAGAAUAGAACAUGAUGAUUGGAAAAAAAAAAAAAAAAAAAAAGAAAACAAAGUCCACAGCUGCU